GUGGGGAAUCUUCCGCAAUGGACGAAAGUCUGACGGAGCAACGCCGCGUGAGUGAAGAAGGUUUUCGGAUCGUAAAGCUCUUUCGUUAGGAACGAACGUGCUCUUUGUGAAUAAUGAGGAGUAAUGACGGUACCUAAAUAAGAAGCCACGGCUAACUACGUGCCAGCAGCCGCGGUAAUACGUAGGUGGCAAGCGUUGUCCGGAAUUAUUGGGCGUAAAGCGCGCGCAGGCGGGAUAUCAAGUCUGUCUUAAAAGUGCGAGGCUCAACCUCGUGAGGGGACAGAAACUGGUAUUCUUGAGUGUCGGAGAGGAAAGUGGAAUUCCAAGUGUAGCGGUGAAAUGCGUAGAGAUUUGGAAGAACACCAGUGGCGAAGGCGACUUUCUGGACGAUGUCUGACGCUGAGGCGCGAAAGCUAGGGGAGCGAACGGGAUUAGAAACCCUGGUAGUCC
rnacentral:rRNA from 1 species